GUACAAAGCUUCUGACAUCUAAUUCCUAACUUUCCUCUUACUUAACUCCCUAUUAUUUCCAUUAGCUCCCCAUUAAUUUUAAUAAUUAUUAAAUAACUCCCCAAGCGUCAACUAUCAUCGCCGCCGCUUUCCAUUUCUUCUUCCUCCUCCUCCUCAGAGAUAAUUCGUAGUUCCUAUGUUCCUGGAAACCAGUGACAAACAAAGUUCUAAUUUCAUCGACUAGCGAGCAUAGUAAGCAUUUCUCACUCAACGGCAUGUUGAGAUUCCCAGGUCCUUUCGUAUUUCUGAAAUUAUUCUAAACAACAUAAGCCGGCUUGUUAAUCCUUGUUAGGAUUUGAGGGAAGAUACCAUAAAUAUUUCGUUCAUUACCAGAGUUUGUUGUGCCAUCUGAUUGUGUCGGUGAUCCUGAAGAAAUGGAAUUGAGCGAUGACAAUGACGGUGAUCGAAAUCAUAAGCAUCGGAAGAAGGAAGAUCAUUCUCAACCGUUGGAGAGAGAUGUUUCAAAUCCUGUAAUUAACAGGCCAUUCAAAAAGCGUCUCAUUUUUUUUUGGGAAUCAUCAUCAGACAAAUGAGUCUAUGGCCUUUGAUACACUGAGAACUUACAAUGAUGCCACCACAAAUAAAGAUUUUUACUCCGAGUUUGAAAGAAGGCGCUCUAGGAUGACUUCAGUUCCUUGAAUACCUUUAGGUAUGAAUCAAAGAAUACAACCAAACCAAUCAUUCGCUGGAGAUCCUGGUGCUGGUGGGGGAGGAGGCAGGGAAUCCGGUUUUUGGAAUUAACGUGAAUCCAGGUUCAGCUCAAUUGAUGUUGCUUCACAAAUGGUUUAGCAGGGACCCAUUCAUCCAGCCCUUUAUACUGUACGUGGGGUUACCAAAUAUAUCAAAUGCACAAAAUGUGUCUUGUAAUACAUUCGGUUUACUUCCAGCAGUACCCAACGGUGGUUUAGACAUGCUUCAUCAAAUGGGUUUACAAGGAACACUCAGAACACCUAUUGAUUCAUCUUUAAAUGUGAAUAUUCCUUGUCAACGAUGCAGAGAUUUUGAGGAAUGUGGUUUUUGCCUUAGAGGGGACAUGUGUCCUAUGGAACAUGGUGUAAAUCGAAUUGUCGUUGAAGAUGUUCAGAGUCUUUCAUAGUUCAACCUUCCUGUUUCACUUACAAGUGCACGCCUAAUUGGAGCACCUACUGUAUCUGGAUCACUUCAGUAAAUAAUUUAACCGCUUCGAUGAACAGCAAAUGUAAACCUGGAAUAAUUUCCAAGUCCAUAGUCAGUGAUGUUGGUUUGCCGAUGGAUGGUGCAUAUCCCGGUCCUGGUUGCACAAGUGGAGCUGAUCUUUAUGAUCCAGAUCAACCACUGUGGAAUGAUAGAGGUCUGGAAUCUUCAAAUGCGCUUCUAAAUAUGCAGUCAUCGAAGAUUGAUGAUGCUGAGCCUAUGUCUAGUGAUGCUCCAAAUAGAGUUUGUCCAAGUGAAGCUACCAGAACUUCUGGCAGUUUACACGGUGCCAGUUCAUCUGUCUGGGGCAGAAUUGGUGGUUCAAAAACUAGAUUUUACACCAAAAGAAAAAUCUAACCCUAUAGUGAGUUCUUUUCAUUUUCCUGAUAAUCAAUCAAAGGAAGAUAAUGAUGAAUUAGAAGGUACUCGGUGCUUCCAGUCAAGGUAGGCAAAUCAUAGCAGAUGAUGCUAUUCCAAGAGCCUUCAAAGCAUCACAGAAGCCACUGAUUGAUACGCGUAGUAUAUGUAAACCAUCACAGAAGGCACUGCAUACUCUAUUUGUAAAUGGUAUACCUCAUAAAAGUAACGGAAGGGAGGCUCUUGCUCAUUUUAAGAAGUUUGGGGAAGUUAUUAACUUUUAUAUUCCAAUGAACAGUGAACGAGCUUUUGUCCAAUUCUCUAAGAGGGAAGAGGCUGAAGCUGCUUUGAGGACACCUGAUUCUGUAAUGGGCAACCGUUUCAUCAACCUUGGUGGGCUAAUCGUGAUUGUAUCCCUAGUGAAAAUACUGCUACUAGUAGGGGAAUGGUACAAUUGUAACUCCCCGCGGGCAACCACCCACUUUCGUUCCAUCUCAUCCAAUUGGCAUUGAUAGGAGAAAAGAUAUCCAUCAACCAGAUGCUUCAAGGACUAUAUUUGAAGAAUCCUCACCUUCUGAUCCAUCUAAGCCAGUCAUUGCAGAUGCACCCAAGGUUCCACCUUCUUUGCAUGGGGAACUUGAAAACUUGGAGCAUCCAAAGGAACAACUGCGUAAGAAGCAGGAAAUGCUGGACCAAAAGCGUAAUGAGUUCAAGCACCAGUUGACAAACAUGUGAAACAAGGAGGAAUGAUACGUUCUAAACUUGUAGAUCAAUUAAGUGGAGCUGUUGUGUAAUUACUGAGGAGGGAACUUCCGGAGAUGGGGGAAAAGAGGCAACUCAAAAUGGCUUGAUUGAGAAUGACCAAGUGGAAUCCAGAAAGGAAAGAAGAAAUCACAUAUUCAUUACCACUCAUAAUAUGGAACAAAUUUGGUCUGUAUUUUGGAGAAUAAGUUAGUUAGUUUCCUUUUACACAAAAAAGUUAGCUUCCUUGAAGACAUUUUCCUCGUUCAUUCUAUCAUGUGCGCUUCUCUCUCUACUCUCUUUUUAAAAGUAAAAUUUUGGUUGCAAAACUUUGUUAGUUUGUGUAAUAGUAGGUGACGUUUACAAUACACAAGUUGAUGAAAUUGUGUAUCAUACAAAAGAUUUAUUUUACCCACAGACGGUUAACCAGUAAUGGUUAACCAGUAAUGUAUUAAUAGGUAUUACCAAUUGCUGUUCCCACAUUUGGUUUGGCUGUGCCACACGAGUAAAUUACUCAAAUGCCCUUCGGUAGUAAACUGCCGAAGUUUUUAGGAAACCGGCGGCAGUUAACUGCCGAGGAAAACCUCGGUAGUUAACUGCCGAGGAAAAUGUUAUAAGAACAGAACUGCAUAGGAGUUUCCAAAACUCUAUUGUUGCGUUUUGAAUUAUCCAAGGUGCGAUUUUGAGUCAUUUGAAGCCAUUACAAGCCAAUUUCAAUCACAAAAACAAAUAUGUCUCAGAAUCAGAAUCAGGGUAACGUUCAGGGUGAUGAGAAGAAAAAAGAAAAAU